AAGAACAUAAAUUAAAAGAUGAUUCUAUUGUGGAUGUACAAAAUACAGAGUCAAAAAAGUUAAGUCCACCGGUGGUGGAGACACUCCCUACAGUUGAUUUGCAUGAAGAGUCUUCCAAUGCAGUUGUGGACAGUGAAACUGUUGAAAAUAUUUCCAGCUCAUCUACCUCAGAAAUCACUCCAAUCUCAAAGCUUGAUGAAAUAGAAAAAUCUGGUACUAUUCCGAUAGCCAAACCAAGUGAAACUGAGCAGUCUGAAACUGAUUGUGAUGUUGGUGAGGCCCUUGAUGCUAGUGCUCCAAUUGAACAACCUUCCUUUGUCAGUCCACCUGACAGCCUUGUUGGCCAGCAUAUAGAAAAUGUAUCAUCUUCACAUGGUAAAGGAAAGAUAACAAAAUCAGAAUUUGAAUCAAAAGUUUCAGCAAGUGAACAGGGCGGUGGUGAUCCAAAAUCUGCAUUGAAUGCUUCAGAUAAUUUAAAAAAUGAGAGCUCUGAUUAUACAAAACCAGGAGACAUUGACCCUACAUCAGUAGCAAGUCCCAAAGAUCCAGAAGAUAUACCAACAUUUGAUGAAUGGAAGAAGAAAGUUAUGGAAGUAGAAAAAGAAAAAAGUCAGUCGAUGCAUGCAUCUUCUAAUGGAGGUUCACAUGCCACCAAAAAGGUCCAGAAAAAUCGAAAUAAUUAUGCCUCAGUAGAAUGUGGUGCCAAAAUUCUAGCAGCUAAUCCAGAAGCCAAGAGCACAUCUGCUAUUCUUAUAGAAAAUAUGGAUCUUUACAUGUUGAAUCCUUGCAGCACUAAAAUUUGGUGAGUUAUACACAAUUUUAAAAAGUACAUUCUACAUAUAUAUGCAUAUUAUGUUAAGCUUUUACA
rnacentral:sRNA from 1 species